AUGAACAGGGAAGAGGGCACAGCACGCAGUUUUCGGCUUUCGGCUCGGAGGAGGCUCAGGUGCAACUUUCUUCGGUCGUCCCGAAUCCGGGUUCAUCCGACACCAGCCACCUCCACCAUGCCGCGGAAAGCUCGACCCCAACGAGAUCAAAGUCGUGUACCUAAGGUGCACCAGCGGGGAAGUGGGUGCCACGUCUGCCCUGGCCCCCAAGAUCAGCCCCCUGGGCCUGUCUCCAAAAAAGGUUGAUGACAUCGCCAAAGCAACCAGUGAUUGGAAGGGUCUGAGGAUUACAGUGAAACUGACCAUUCAGAACAGAAAGGCCCAGAUUGAGGUAGUGCCUUCUGCCUCUGCCCUGACCAUCAAAGCCCUCAAAGAACCGCCAAGAGAUAGGAAGAAGCAAAAGAACGUUAAGCAGUGGAAAUAUCAUAUUUGAUGAGAUUGUCAACAUUGCCCAACAGAUGCGGCACCGAUCUUUAGCUAGAGAACUCUCUGGAACCAUUAAAGAGAUCCUAGGGACUGCCCAGUCUGUGGGCUGCAAUGUUGAUGGCCGCCACCCUCAUGACAUCAUAGAUGACAUCAACAGUGGUGCAGUGGAAUGCCCAGCUAGUUAAGAACUACAAAGGAGAAUGUUUCUAUUAAAGUUCAUUUGACAACC